AACGAACGCUGGCGGCAGGCUUAACACAUGCAAGUCGAACGCACCUUUCGGGGUGAGUGGCAGACGGGUGAGUAACGCGUGGGAAUCUACCCUUCUCUACGGGAUAGCUCCGGGAAACUGGAAUUAAUACCGUAUACGUCCUGAGGGAGAAAGAUUUAUCGGGGAAGGAUGAGCCCGCGUUGGAUUAGCUAGUUGGUGGGGUAAAGGCCUACUAAGGCGACGAUCCAUAGCUGGUCUAAGAGGAUGAUCAGCCACAUUGGGACUGAGACACGGCCCAAACUCCUACGGGAGGCAGCAGUGGGGAAUAUUGGACAAUGGGCGCAAGCCUGAUCCAGCCAUGCCGCGUGAGUGAUGAAGGCCCUAGGGUUGUAAAGCUCUUUCAGUGGGGACGAUAAUGACGGUACCCACAGAAGAAGCCCCGGCUAACUUCGUG
rnacentral:rRNA from 1 species